rnacentral:tRNA from 1 species
GGGCUGUAGCUCAGUUGGGAGAGCGCUUGAAUGGCAUUCAAGAGGUCAGGGGUUCGAUUCCCCUCAGCUCC